CAGCCGCCGCGGGAAUACGGAGGGUGCAAGCGUUAUCCGGAUUUAUUGGGUUUAAAGGGUCCGUAGGCGGACUUAUAAGUCAGUGGUGAAAGCCUGUCGCUUAACGAUAGAACUGCCAUUGAUACUGUAAGUCUUGAGUAUAUUUGAGGUAGCUGGAAUAAGUAGUGUAGCGGUGAAAUGCAUAGAUAUUACUUAGAACACCAAUUGCGAAGGCAGGUUACCAAGAUAUAACUGACGCUGAGGGACGAAAGCGUGGGUAGCGAACAGGAUUAGAGACCCCGGUAGUCACUGUCUCUUAUAC
rnacentral:rRNA from 1 species